CCCUUAGAUGUUCUGGGCCGCACGCGCGCUACACUGAUGCAUUCAACGAGUCUAAAACCUGCUCUGAUAGGGGUGGGUAAUCUUUUGAAUGUGCAUCGUGAUUGGGAUAGAUGAUUGCAAUUUUUCAUCUUCAACGAGGAAUGCCUAGUAAACGCAAGUCAUCAGCUUGCAUUGAUUACGUCCCUGCCCUUUGUACACACCGCCCGUCGCUCCUACCGAUUGAAUGAUCCGAUGAAUAUCAUGGAUUGAGGAUGUAAGCAGGUUCGCCUGUCUUCAUCUUCGAGAAGUGAAGUAAAUCUUAUCAUUUAGAGGAAGUAAAAGUCGUAACA
rnacentral:rRNA from 1 species